rnacentral:piRNA from 1 species
UAAUCUUGCAUCCAAAUGCAUCCAUUCACAUC